rnacentral:rRNA from 1 species
UGGGGAAUAUUGCACAAUGGGGGAAACCCUGAUGCAGCGACGCCGCGUGAACGAAGAAGGUAUUCGUAUCGUAAAGUUCUGUCCUAUGGGAAGAUAAUGACAGUACCAUAGAAGAAAGCUCCGGCUAAAUACGUGCCAGCAGCCGCGGUAAUACGUAUGGAGCGAGCGUUGUCCGGAAUUAUUGGGCGUAAAGGGUACGCAGGCGGUUUAAUAAGUCGAAUGUUAAAGAUCGGGGCUCAACCCCGCAAAGCAUUGGAAACUGAUAAACUUGAGUAGUGGAGAGGAAAGUGGAAUUCCUAGUGUAGUGGUGAAAUACGUAGAUAUUAGGAGGAAUACCAGUAGCGAAGGCGACUUUCUGGAAACAAACUGACGCUGAGGUACGAAAGCGUGGGGAGCAAACAGG